rnacentral:rRNA from 1 species
CAGCAGCCGCGGGAAUACGGAGGGUGCAAGCGUUAAUCGGAAUUACUGGGCGUAAAGCGCACGCAGGCGGUUUGUUAAGUCAGAUGUGAAAUCCCCGAGCUUAACUUGGGGACUGCAUUUGAAACUGGCAAGCUAGAGUCUUGUAGAGGGGGGUAGAAUUCCAGGUGUAGCGGUGAAAUGCGUAGAGAUCUGGAGGAAUACCGGUGGCGAAGGCGGCCCCCUGGACAAAGACUGACGCUCAGGUGCGAAAGCGUGGGGAGCAAACAGGAUUAGAUACCCGCGUAGUCCCUGUCUCUUAUAC